GCGGGUGUAGUUCAAUGGCAGAAUGUGGCCUUCCCAAGGCUAAGGCGGGAGUUCGAUUCUCCUCACCCGCUCCA
rnacentral:tRNA from 1 species